rnacentral:lncRNA from 1 species
AGACAUUAAUCUUAAGUAUCCAGGGAGCCCUAAAACAUUGUAUCCCACUAGCAAGGACCAUGGUAAUUGCCACGUAAAUCCCCUCCAUUAUGUGGCCCUUAUUAUGACCAGCCAGCCAAGGCUUGCCUUUAAAUCAUACCAAUUGAACCGAGCCUUGUAGAAACACUAUCACCUACGCAUACCUCUGCUUCUUUUCAUUAACCUGCUAUCCUCUUUACAAAUGGGAUUCUUCACCCACUCCCUUCUUCUAGAUUAGCAAUGCCCUGUUAAGUAAACGAACACGAAAUUCAAAGGGAAACAGGAGCAAUCAUCAUUACCAGCUGCCGUGUUAAGCAUUGCGAAAACGCUCACGAUUCACAGAAAAAUCCAUGCUGUUCUUUGAAGGCAUUCAAGCCUUAAUAGCUAGCUGGAUGAAUGUUUAACUUCUAGGCCAGGCACUACUCUGUCCCAACAAUAAGCCCUGUACAUUGGGAAAGGUGCCGAGACAUGAACUUUGGUCUUCUCUGCAAUCCAUCUGGAGCAUUCACUGACAACAUCGACUUUGAAGUUGCACUGACCUGGCCAGCCCUGCCACUUACCAGGUUGGGCUGUGGCUUGCCUUUUCACUUCUUGUGUCCUGUUUAAGAAAUAUCUGCUAUCCCAAGCAUCUGGCAUCUUUCUUGACAUAUGUAGCAGUUGCUUUUUGACAGCUUGCUUCUUCAGUGAAUGAAUAAAUUAAUAAAGAGAAAUGUGAUGUUCAGUGAUCCAUUUUGCAGAUUGCAAACUCCUAGAGAAGGGCUCAACAGUGAGUGCUGAGGCUGCACAGAGGAGGAAGGCAGCACAAUGAUGGAAGGCUUCCUAAAGAGAUUGAGCCUCAUAUUUCAUAUCUGCCCCUGGCCUAAUGGUUGUUUACAGAAUGAGCUCAAUGAAUAUUGUUAAAUAACACUAACAAAGUUGACCUUAGAAUUGGAGUGCCUGGGUUAGAACCCUGCUGGUACCACCUGCUUACUGCAUGCUUCUGAUGUGAGUUCAGGAGAAGACACUGGCAAGGACAGCAAAGAACAGGAGAACACUCUAGCUUCCCUGAUAGCAUUCAAGGUGCUGUCCAAAAGUUUCACUCUUAUUGCCCAGGCUGGAGUGGAAUGGCGCAAUCUUGGCUCACUGCAACCUCCGUCUUUCGGGUUCAAGCAAUUCUUCUGCCUCAGCCUCCCCAGUAGCUGGGACUACAGGCAUGCACCACCAUGCCUGGCUAAUUUUGUAUUUUUAGGAGAGACGGGGUUUCACCAUGUUGGUCAGGCUGGUCUUGAACUCCUGACCUCAGUUGAUCCACCGUCUUCAGCCUCCCAAAGUGCUGGGAAUACAGGCAUGAGCCACCAUGCCCAGCCUAAUUUUUCUUACAUGAGAUACGGUUUACCAAAGUCCACCUUCCACUUCUUCCUUCGUGUAUAUAUAGAGAUAGCAUUUCCUAGCUUCUCUUGCAAUUAAUUGUGGCCAUGAGCUUUGGGCAGUGGAAUGUGAAUGGAAGUGAUGUGGCCACUCCAUAUGUGUUUCUCUGUGUCCUUUCCCCUUCUAGCUGACUGUGAUGGCACCCUCCAGACAGACAGCGAUGCCACAUGUUCAAGAUGGCAGAAUCACUAUCAGCUUCAAUUCCUGAAUGACUGCAGAGCAAAAUUUCUUACCUGCAACAUACACUCUAUUUUCAGCCUCCCUGGACUGUUACAUAAUGAUACAUAAAAAUAUUUCUUGUGUUGAGGCAUCCCAAAUUUGAUUUAUUUGUCAUCACAGUCUAUCCUAUGAAUAUAUUUCUGAUCCAAAUAAUGCUAGAUUCAUGAGAGUUUAUAGUCCAGAGAUUUUUUUUUUUUUUUUGAGACAGAAUCUGUCUCCCAGGCUGGGGUGCAGUGGCAUAAUCUUAGCUCACUGCAACCUCUGCCUCCCGGGCUCAAGUGAUCCUCCCUCCUUAGCCUCCAUGAGUAGCUGGGACCACAGGUGUGCACCACCACACCCCGCUAAUUAUUUUGUAUUUUUUGCAGAGGGGGGUUUCACCACAUUGCCCAAGCUGGUCUCAAACUCCUAGACUUAAGGGAUCUGCCUGCCUUGGCCUCCCAAAAUGCUGAAAUUACACUUGUUAGCCAUAGUAAUAGUUCCUAGCCAUAGUCCGGAGAUAUUUUAAAAACUUUAGUGUGAGUUAUUUCUCUUUGCUAUAAUUCUCUCAUGCAUUUUGAAAACCUUUUCUGCCAUACAGUGGUUUUUGGGAAGUCCUUUUGGACAGACAUAUCACAGGAUGGAGAAACUAAAAAGAGAGAAUGCAUUAAAGAAAAAAUAGUACUUCGUAUUUCAGAAAUUACAAAAGGGUGUCAUGCCCCACAGCAUGGUGGGCAGUCAUUUGUAACCCACAGAACAUUGAGUUUCUAAAAUUUGAGUGUUUUUAACUUACGAAGGCCAACUUUACUGAUGAAGUGAUUACCCCAAAUAUGUGAAAUCCAUAUUUCAAGUACAAUAGUAGGAAAUUGGAAAUGGGCUCUUGAGUUUCUGCUUUCAAGUGACCCUCAGAAAUUCCUCCAUUCACUGCAGAGGUUCUGUUUCUCCUUGCUUUGUUCUGACUUUACGGCAGAACUAAGCUAAUGAGUUAGUUACUAUGGGUUAUCACUUGGAUUUGAAGAACCAUCAUUUCUAGGCAUUGCUGCUCAGAGUGGGUCUGCCCUCAGGGGAAGCUGUCUAACCAGAGCCUAACCCACUAGGGUUUUAUCAGAACCUAACUGACCUGAGGAAAAGAAAUACUCAACUCCAGCAAGCUCCAGCCUUCCAAAUGGAGGAGGAGAAAACCCAACUCCAGCCCACUUCAGCUAUCUUGUCCCACAUAAAGGGGAAGUGGAAGAAACCUGAGAAGCAGGCAUGAAGUUCACAGUCCAGAGGUAUACAAGCCACGCUGAACAUCUGAAAAUCAAUUCAUGUGAUCCAUCACAUUAGCAGACUCAAGAAAAAAAACCACAUUAUCAUAUCAGUAGAUGUAGAAAAAAAAAAUUAACAAAAUCCAGCACCCAUUCACAAUGAAAAUGCCCAGUAAAUUAGAAAUAGAAGGUAACUUCCUCAAAUUGAUAAGGAAUAUCUCUAAAAACCUACAACUAAAAUCAUACUUAAUGGUAGAAAACUAGAAGCCUUCCCAGUAAGAGUAAGAACAAGUCAAAGAUGUAUGCUCUCACCAAUGCUUUUCAACAUCAUAUUGGAAGUCCUAGCUAGUGCAAUAAGCAAAAAAAAAAAAAAAGUUAUAUUAAUAAGAACAAAAACUGUGUUUGUUUGCAGAUGACAUGAUUUUCUAUGCAAAAAAUUCAAAAUAAUCAACAACAAAAAAAUCCUGAAACUAAUAAAUGAUUAUAGCAAGAUUUCAGGAUAUGAGAUUUAUAUACAAAGGUCAAUUACUUUCAUAUAUACAAGCAAUGAACAAGAGGGAUUUGAAAUUAAAAACGAAACUAUUUACAUUAGUACCCCCAAAAUGAAAUCCUUAUGUAUAAACUUAACAAAAUAUGUACAAGAUACAUAUGAGAAAAA